rnacentral:rRNA from 1 species
UGACCUCAAAUCAGGUAGACUACCCCAGUUCCU